UCUGAAAUUAACAAACCAAAAAGUGAUGUUUUUUGUUCCCAAAUUAAAGUUUCAGAUAGCAUUUAGAUUGGUGAUAUCAAAAUUUGUUUUUUUUAUAAGAUUGGCUUCCUAUGACUUCUGUUGGAAAAGAAGUGAAAACACAGAUAUCCUGACAUUAAUAGAGAUGGACUGACACAAGGUAACCUUUUGGAAUGACUGGUUCCUUAAAUGGAGGAUAACAGUCAAUACGGAACCAGCUCCAUUUAAUACACAGACUUACAGGAAACAGCUCAUUUUGUCCAUUUGGAGAGGAAACAAAUGUCAUGUAAUAACUUAAAUAGAUUUUUUUCCAUCUUCAAAUGAUAAAAAUGCAAUUAUUGAACACCCCCCCCUACAGGGGUGGAUCCAGCCAUUUCUAAAGAGAGGGGGUUCCCAACCCAGGAUAAAAGGCUAGGUUCAAACUAGUUUAUGUUCUCAUUCAAUUGCAUUGAUCAUCAAAAAAAUUUGUAAGGGUGCCGCAGAACCCAGUGUCUUGCCUACUUUUGCUGUCAAUUGCAGGCUCAACAAAAAUGAGGGGGAAAAUCAAUAAAAAUAUUCCUCUUGAAAAAUUAGUUUGACAGAAUGAAGGAUGACUAAGUUAUUUUUUUCAACUUAAGUCGAAGGCUCGAUAAAAAAAAUAUUAAAUAUUUCAUUUUAAGUACAUUAAGUGAAAUUCCAAUAUAAAAUAAAUAAUCACAAAAAAUGCAUAGUAUUUAUUUUUUUUAUUUGAAUUGUCUAUAAAAGAUUCACUUAUGAUAAUUCUUAUAACAAUACUUCAGGGAUUGUUGGAGUAAUUUAACUAUAUUGGCAUGUUUUAAUUUCUAUGGCACCUUCAUCAGAAUAAAAACUAAAGAGUACAAAAUGGUGAAGUGAUAAUUUGCACUUCACAAUGUCAACAGGAGGAGAAAAUAAUAAAUAAAAAAUAAAAGAAGGUAAUGGGAGUAAAGUUUAAAAAGAAUGUUAAAUAAAAUUUGUUGAAUAGUGUUUAAUCAAAUUUUGCAGAGGUACAUGCUUCCAAUUGGCUUCGCUCAGAGUUACUGCCUCUAAUUGGGACCACUCUGCCGGGGGUACUGCUUCUAAUUAGCUUUAGCAGACAGAGGUAUAUAUGUACUGCUUCCAAUCAGCUUCGCAACAAGACAGAGGGUAUGUGCUCCCAAUUAGCUUCACUAAGAGGUACAUGCUUCCAAUUGGCUUCGCUCAGACAAACGUACUAUUUCCAGUGUUGAAAUGGUACCGUAAGCAAGUCUGUACUACAUCCAGCAUAGUAAAUGGUACAUAAUUGCAAGUCAAAUGUCGUCCAAAUUUACAAAAACAUAUUUUAUUUUUACAUUCUUGAUCCAGUUAAAGAUAAUUCACAUCUACCUUCACUCCCUAUUUAUAAUUUAUCCUGAUGGUGUCAUUGUGAAAUGCAAAUUAUCAUUACAAAAUUCUGUACUUUCCUGUAGUUGCAAUCCUGAUGAUGUGCCAUAGGAACCAAAAUAUGUCUAUCUUAUUAAAUCACUGUAGCAAUCCCUAAAGUCUUUUUUUAUCUUUUAAUUGAUUUUAAUUGAAUUGAAAGAAGUCCAAGUUCUGUUCAAGUUUGGUAAAAAUCCAGAAUAGUUUAUGAAUCUAAUAAAUGUUUUAAAAAACUUUAACAGCAGACUGUAUGUAAUGUUAACUUGAAGAAAAACUAAGUCCAUAUAUAAGUGAAAAACAGAAAAAAUGGAAUUUUAUUUUUACAAAAUUUACUUCUGGAUACUAUCUUAUGAUCAUAAACAAGCUUUUGUCCAAGCUUGGUAUAAAUCCAGGAGAGUUUAAGAAAGUUAUUAAAAUUUCAAACUUUAGCCAAAGAGUGAAUAUUUGUUGAUGCUGCCAAGGACGACGCCAAUGACGGAAUGUAGGACUGCUAUGUCUCACUUUUUCAACUAAAGUCAAAGGCUCGACAAAAAGGGGGAUCCAACACCAAAACUCCCACCCUCUGAAUCUGCCACUGCCCUCAAAGUAUGGUACAUGAUCCAAUUGGAACCUGCUUGGUUAAUAUAACUGAUUGUGUGCAAUUUUUAAAAGAAAUUUAAGGGGAAUUUCGAAAAGAAAUGUCAAAAUCUUAUCUACAAAUCAUGAUGAGCCAUUGUUAAAUGUGAUGAAAAGGUUUAAAUUAAAAAUAGUUGUCAAUUAUGUACUGAUAAUUAUAAACCAAAUAGUUACUAAAUAUUUUUAAAUCGAAUAAAAAUUACACUGAUUUUAGAAAAAUAUGAUGUUGAAUGGACAAAGAAGACAUAAACAAAUAGCCUGUUCCCAGAAAUUUAUUUUAGAAUUUUCAUCAUAAAAUUAAAAUUUGAAACAAGUUAUCUCCCUUGCUUAAAAGUAAUGGAUUUCAAUUGUGUAAAGACAAAGAAACAAACAAAAAAUGUUGCUUAUAUACAACAUUUGAGGCUUAAUGAUAAAACUUGAUUACAAAUUUUUUUCAAGCAAAAAGUGAAUACUGUGGAUUCAUUAUUAUUGACAGUUUUUUUUUAUUAUUAUUCAUGAGAACCACAAAUUUUAGUUUUUCACAAGAUUAUUUUUUGGGGAUUUGUAUGGAGAAUUUGUAAAAUGUCUGAAUGAAAGCAUAUUAUUGGGGAUUAGAGUUGAAAAAUUAACCCAAGAAUGAGAUAUCUGAAGCAAAAUAGAUUUUACUACCAUUUAACGCUAGGGAUGAUUAUUUAAAUUUCUCUGGGAAAUGAUGAUAGUUUUAGAUAACUCAGAAUGAAAUUUUUUUUUAGGGGGUGUGUGUGAAAUGAUUUAAUUAAUUGCUUUCCCAUUUGGUUAAAGAUUUAAGUGAUUUUUAUAGAUAAGAGAUACAUCCAAUUAGAUUAUAAUUUUUAAAUGUUACUUUUACUUCACCAUUACCUUGUUAGCAAUAAGUGCUUUAAAGAAACAGAUACCCUGAAAUAAUUUUGUUGACGCUCAAGUAAAUAACAUUUUGGGACAUUUUUCACAAUACUGUAUUUGAAUUCAAUCUAAGAUACAAAUAUACAUUUAAUUUUUUCGUUUCCAAUACAUCAUAAUAUGUCAAAUACAAUUUAGAAUUUGAUUUAAGACAUUUGCUUUUGACAUUGUUUCAAAAAUUAUAAAAAGUUCAAAGUAGCUUUAAGCUCCAAAUUGUUUUUUUUUUAAUAUUUAAAUGACCGUACAAAUAUCAAAUACUUUCAUUUCAGAAUUACAUAUGAAGAUUCCUUUGAAAGCAGAACACUUGAAAACCAUAACACCAUCCAAAGAACAAAUGAAAAAACAGAAGAAAUAACCAGACCCUAACUACUGAAAGCUACACCAAAAAGAAACUAUGUUAUAUGUUAGUAAGAGACGCAGCGC
rnacentral:lncRNA from 1 species